ensembl:lncRNA
AAAGACUCGUUAUUCACCGGUGCGCGCGACUCAGGUGAGCUGGCUCUGACGUCACCGCACUAAAAAACAGCUAAUUUAUUUCGUUGAACUCAGUCUGACUGCCUCUGUCCUGCUUUUAAAAAUAGACUUUAAAUAAAAACUAAAUACAUUAACUACAUAAUUAUGAUUAACAAAAUAGUGCAUUAUUUUGGGCUAAUGCUGUGGAACCGGAGGAAAUCCAUGCUUUUCCUGAUGGGUCUAAAUUGAUCACGUGAUGUAGAAUCAGCCAAUCAGCGGGUUAAUUAAAUCAGUUCGCUGUAAUGAAGCUCUUCGUUUGUUACAGUGCAGCAGCUCAAAAUAAUCCGAAUGGAUUUCGAAUAGAAACAUGACAAAAAAAAAAUGCAGAUGAACAGCUCCGAGGGCGGAGAGAGAGAGAGAGAGAGAGAGAGAGAAUAAAGAGGACAGAAGCGUCAGGAUUAGAUAACUAUUCCACACCUGGACCUCCUGGUAGCUCAUCUCUCUCCUCUCCACUCGACUCUGAGACACUGUGAGUGCUACAACUCUCUAAAACAGUAUUAUACUGUUACUCCUGCAGAUCUGCUGGAGCAGAAUGUGAUGCAGCGUUACAGACCGGAGAGCCAACGCUCUGAUUCUCCAUCAGCACUUUUAGUUCCGCAUUAUUUAUAACCCCAGAGACACAAAGCUUCUUCAGCAGCCCCUAAAGAGACUCGAACAGCUGCUGAUGGACUCGUUUCAUUCGUCUGUUCUCUCAUCUGUUCGUCCAUCCCUCCAACACUGCACACAUUCACAACUCCUCACUUCCACUCCAUAAAUCAGUCCUGAGGCUCUUCAGCAUCCUGAAACGCUUCAUUGUGCUCAUGAUCCCGAGGGACCAUCACAUGACCGUCACACACUUUCCCCCUGUUUC